rnacentral:ncRNA from 1 species
CGUGCAUUUAUCAGACCAAAAACCGGCCGCGUCUUCGGGCGCGUUCGCCUUGGUGACUCUGGAUAACUUUGCGGAUCGCACGGUCUAGCACCGGCGACGGAUCAUUCAAGUGUCUGCCCUAUCAACUUUCGUCGGUACGGUAUUUGCCUACCGAGGUUCUUACGGGUGACGGGGAAUCAGGGUUCGAUUCCGGAGAGGGAGCCUGAGAAACGGCUACCACAUCCAAGGAAGGCAGCAGGCGCGCAAAUUACCCAUUCCCGACGCGGGGAGGUAGUGACGAAAAAUAACAAUGCAGGACUCGUUCGAGGCCCUGUAAUUGGAAUGAGUACACUUUAAAAGCUUUAACGAGUAUCCAUUGGAGGGCAAGUCUGGUGCCAGCAGCCGCGGUAAUUCCAGCUCCAAAAGUAUAUAUUUAAGUUGUUGCGGUUAAAAAGCUCGUAGUUGGAUUUUGGGCGCAGGCGGCCGGUCCGUCGCAAGGCGUGUACUGGACGUCCUGGCCUUCCCUCCGGUUCUCCGCCGGUGCUCUUGACUGAGUGUCGGCGGCGGCCGGAACGUUUACUUUGAAAAAAUUAGAGUGUUCAAAGCAGGCUCUCGAGCCUGGAUAAUGGUGCAUGGAAUAAUGGAAUAGGACCUCGGUUCUAUUUUGUUGGUUUUCGGAGCGCGAGGUAAUGAUUAAGAGGGACCAGACGGGGGCAUUCGUACUGUGCGAAU